AUACGUAGGGGGCGAGCGUUGUCCGGAAUGAUUGGGCGUAAAGGGCGCGUAGGCGGCCCGGUAAGUCUGGAGUGAAAGUCCUGUUUUUAAGAUGGGAAUUGCUUUGGAUACUGUCGGGCUUGAGUGCAGGAGAGGUAAGUGGAAUUCCCAGUGUAGCGGUGAAAUGCGUAGAGAUUGGGAGGAACACCAGUGGCGAAGGCGACUUACUGAACUGUAACUGACGUUGAGGCUCGAAGGCGUGGGGAGCAAACAGGAUUAGAUACCCUGGUAGUCCACGCGGUAAACGAUGAUCGCUAGGUGUCGGCGGCCAUAGGCGGUCGGUGCCGCAGCAAACGCAAUAAGUGAUCCACCUGGGGAGUACGUUCGCAAGAAUGAAACUCAAAGGAAUUGACGGGG
rnacentral:rRNA from 1 species